AAGUCGUCUCUCGUCUCGAGUCAUACCGUUUGCGAGGAGACGGCUGGGGGCGAGGCGACGGCACAGCGGGAGGCGCACGAGGCGACGACGCGGCACGGCCACCACCAACGGCGACGGUGAAUGCUUCCCCUCCGACGUCCAUACUCCCCGCCGCCUUCUCUCCGAUCUCUCCAGCACCAUUUAGAGUUGGGGAAGGUGAACCUCCGUCUUCUUGGGAUCCGGUACCAACUCCAGAAGGGCCACUUUGGUGGGGAUAUGACUGUGUGGUUGAUGAGUGGAGCAAGUUCUAAUGAUGGAAUAGAAAUGCUUGUAGGAACCCCUAGUCUUUUUUAAGAGAUCGAUUCUACUCAAGUAUAUGUCGAAUUUCUGUUCUAGUGUCAUUAAAGUUCAGUACCAUAUGCAACUACUGCCUGAUGGCCCCCAACUCCCAUUCACUCAUAUAGCUACUAGAUGUAGUGUUAACUUGAGCGGACGAUUACUUGGCAUACAACUAAGAUACGUGCAAGUCGCUAAAGAUUAUGAUAAUGUUUAGAUUAUCAUCUUUUGUAACUUGUGACGUCGUUUAUUUAUUUACAAUCUUUAUCGUUGGAUCUUGAAUUUGUGA